ACAUUUUUUUUUUUAGUGGCUUCAAGAUCUUUGAUGCAGUGUGCAAUACUACUGUUGUUGUCGUUGUUGUUCUCUAUGUUGUUGUUACUUGUUCAUCUAAAAAAAUAAAUGUAUAGGCCAGAUAUGGUUCCUAGAAAACCAGCAUAACUUGGAAUUCAAACCAGUCACUCAAAACUUGAAUAUCCGUUCUAGUAAUUCGUCAAGAGCAAGAAUUAGGAAUAGAAAUACUUCUGAAAUUAGACGGUUUAUGCAAAACAUGAUAGAGAAUGAUGCUCCUGAUGGCAUAUUUACUUUUUUAAGAAGGACAGGUCAUCAGGUUGAUGGUUACAUAACCCAACAAAUUAGCCCAUAACUGGGUAAUA